UACAGAGGUCUCGAGCGUUGUUCGGAUUCAUUUGGGCGUAAAGGGUGCGUAGGUGGCGCUGUAAGUCGGGUGUGAAAUCCUGAGGCUUAACCUCGGAACUGCAUUCGAUACUGCGGCGCUUUGAGGACUGGAGAGGAGACUGGAAUUUACGGUGUAGCAGUGAAAUGCGUAGAUAUCGUAAGGAAGACCAGUGGCGAAGGCGGGUCUCUGGACAGU
rnacentral:rRNA from 1 species